UAGCUCGAGCAUGAAAUCCCCGAGAAUUGUGGCCGGUAGAGGCAGCUGCCCGGCUGGCGCUGUCGAAGUUGACCUGGAAAGGCACGUCGGAGAGGGUGAGAGCCCCGUGCGCGACACCGGCGGGCCGGGCCAGCUGUCUUCGGAGAGUCGGGUUGUUUGGGAUUGCAGCCCAAAGUGGGUGGUAAACUCCAUCUAAAGCUAAAUACUGGCACGAGACCGAUAGCGAACAAGUACCGUGAGGGAAAGGUGAAAAGUACUU
rnacentral:rRNA from 1 species